UUUUUAGGUAAAUUGUUUUAACUUGAGUAGUAAUAGUUAUGGCCUUGAAACUUAAAGAAUUUGGCGGUACCUUAGUCUAUUUAGAGGAAUCUGUCCCGUAAUCGAUACCCCACGAAGGACCUCACUUGAUUUAUUUUAGUAUGUAUACCGCCGUUUAUUGAAGAUCUUUUUAGGGUAUUUUCCUGAUAUUUUAUUUAUUUGUAUUUCAGGUCAAGGUGCAGCUUAUAAUUAAGUGGAGAUGGAUUACAAUAUUUUAAAUUACAUGGAUUAUAGUUUGAAACACUUGUAUGAAGGUGGAUUUGAUAGUAAUUAUCUAUAGAUUGUUGUUGUGACUUUGGCUCUAAGGUGUGC
rnacentral:rRNA from 1 species